AUGAAUCACGAAGAUGGCACUGAUCCUUGGCUUUCUCAAAGGCCGGAAACGCCACCUUGGGAUGUAGCAGAGUACAAUCAACUCAUUUCUUCAGGGCCAUUGCUGCCACUACUAGAGCACUACGCGGGCAUCGGUUCUUAUGACCAAACCAUAAUCAGGGGGCAGCAUGGCAAGACCUUCAUGCAGCACGUGGCAUCAGGCAGCAACCAUGUACCUGCCAUCAACGUCGUACACAGUUGCCAUGCAAUGACCAACUGCUACCAGGAUCGCAGGUUGUUACGGUGGAACCACAUCGGCAAACAUCUCAUGGCAAGCUUCACAGUUUUGCCAUGUAUGCUGGAUUGUAUCUGCCAUUGCUAUGUGCUGCAAUUUCUGAUGCUGAAAGAAGCUGGUUGCCAUGUGUGGGCAAUAGUAGUUGCCAUGUGUGUUGGACUAUUUCUGCCAUUGCUAUAUGCUACAAGUUCUCAAGCUAAAAGACGCUGGUUGCCAUGUGUUGGCAACGGACCUUCAACUACAAUUAACAGCGGCGCGGGGACAUCUAUUGCGGGGAGCUCUGAGCGCACGGAAGAAGCAUUCCACCAGCCAGCCAACACUCAUGCCACAAACAAUGCCGAGUCAGUGUCAGAAAUGGAAAUCGUGCCAGCAAUACCGACAAGCACACAUGUGCACACCAGCACAAGCAACACUCGAGCAGGUGAAACAGCCGCCGAUACUGAAGUGAAUGAUGAAACCGAUGAUGAAGCACAAGGGGAUGAAGAUGAUGCAAAGGAAUUCUACCAGACAUAUGCAAAGUUCCAUGGGUUUGCGGUCAACACCGAAUACCAUAGGAAAAUUAAAAAAACUAACGAGUACAGUAGAGGUGAGAUGAGGUGCUACAAGGCACGAAGAAACAAGAAGGGCAAAGGUGAUGCGCCUGUCGUUCCGGAACGAAAGAGAGGUAUCAUUGUCAAGAUGGAAUGCCCUGCCCGGUGUAAGCUGAACGUAGAUGGAGCACAGUGGGUGGUCACUGAAUAUUUUGACGAGCACAACCAUGAGCUAAUAAAGAAGUUUGACCUGGUAAAAUUUCUGACCGCCCAUAGAGGAUUCACCCCCCUCGAGAAGAAAUUCAUAAAGCUGCUACAUGAUUGUAACAUCGGUCCAUCAAGAAUGGUGCAGAUACUCUCCCUCAUCCACAGCAAGAACGGGUCUCUGAGUAGCAUGCCCUACCUACUAGCAGACGUCACAAACCUAAAGGCAAAAUUCCAGGAAGAAAUAAAGCGUGCCAGCAUGUACACGACUUUCCAGGUGGACGAACAUACAUUCAAGGUGUGUUCUAUCAUGGGCAUGUCGGAUUCAGAACCUGAAGACCCAGACAAGGGAAGGAACUACUUUGUGAAGGCAUCGAUAAGCGAAGGCGAAUACUACUGCCAAUGCUGCAAAUUCGAACUGGACGGGAUUGUGUGCUGUCACAUUCUAAAAGUAAUGGACUUGAACGCGGUGACACGAAUGCCCCGCCAUUUCAUAAGGCGACGAUGGACUUGGGACGCUGAGGACGCAUUGGCGCCGCAAACAUCAAAUGUAGUUUUGGCCGUGCAUGACGAGAGACCAGAGUCAACCAUGGAAGCCGUGAGGCACGUUGUGUUGACAAAGAACUAUGCUGAACUAAUUGAUGAAGCGUGCAAGAGUGAUGAGACAGCAAGGGUCGCAGAAAAACACAGGAAGGCCCUCAAAAGAGAGCUUGAUGAGAUCAAGAAGAGGAAAGCUGAGGAAGCCUUACAUAGGUUCCCCCGCACAUCAAGUGUGCCUUCGUCCACAGGGCCAUCAUCUGAAAACUCGGAGGUAGGAUCUGGAACAGCAAGCACACAAACACAGAUGUUCUAA
rnacentral:rRNA from 1 species